rnacentral:rRNA from 1 species
GACGAACGCUGGCGGCGUGCUUAACACAUGCAAGUCGAGCGGUAAGGCCCCUUCGGGGGUACACGAGCGGCGAACGGGUGAGUAACACGUGAGCAAUCUGCCCUUCACACGGGGAUAACUCCGGGAAACCGAAGCUAAUACCCGAUACGACCACCUCAGGCAUCUGAUGGUGGUGGAAAGUUCCGGCGGUGAAGGAUGAGCUCGCGGCCUAUCAGCUUGUUGGUGGGGUAACGGCCCACCAAGGCAACGACGGGUAGCCGGCCUGAGAGGGUGACCGGCCACACUGGGACUGAGACACGGCCCAGACUCCUACGGGAGGCAGCAGUGGGGAAUAUUGGACAAUGGGCGAAAGCCUGAUCCAGCAACGCCGCGUGAGGGAUGACGGCCUUCGGGUUGUAAACCUCUUUCAGCAGGGACGAAGCGCAAGUGACGGUACCUGCAGAAGAAGCACCGGCCAACUACGUGCCAGCAGCCGCGGUAAGAC